AGCAGCCGCGGUAAUUCCAGCUCCAAUAGCGUAUAUUAAAGUUGUUGCAGUUAAAAAGCUCGUAGUUGAAUUUCGGGAUCAAUAUGUUGGUCGUGCCUCGGUACGUACUAGCAUAUUGGUUUCUCCUUUCUGAAGAACCAUGAUGUCAUUUAUUUGGUGUCGUGGGGAAUCAGGACUGUUACUUUGAAAAAAUUAGAGUGUUUAAAGCAGGCUCACGCUUGAAUACAUUAGCAUGGAAUAAUGAAAUAGGACGUUUGAUUCUAUUUUGUUGGUUUCUAGGAUCGACGUAAUGAUUAAUAGGGAUAGUUGGGGGCAUUAGUAUUCAAUUGUCAGAGGUGAAAUUCUUGGAUUUAUUGAAGACUAACUACUGCGAAAAGCAUUUUGCCAGGGAUGUUUUUCAAUUUAAUCAAGAAACGAAAUGUUAGGGGAUCGAAGACGAUCAGAUACCGUCGUAGUCUUAACCAUAAACUAUGCCGACUAGGGAUCGGAUGAUGUUAAUUUUUUUAAAUG
rnacentral:misc_RNA from 1 species